UACGGAAGGGGCAAGCGUUGUUCGGAAUCAUUGGGCGUAAAGGGCGCGUAGGUGGUUCUGUAUGUCUACCGUGAAAGCAUACAGCUCAACUGUAUUUUGUCGGUAGAAACUGCAGGACUUGAGGCUGGGAGGGGCUGGUGGAAUUCCCUGUGUAGCGGUGAAAUGCGUAGAUAUUGGGAGGAACACCAGUGGCGAAGGCGGCUCACUGGACCGGUACUGACGCUGAUGCGCGAAAGCGUGGGGAGCAAACGGGG
rnacentral:rRNA from 1 species